rnacentral:sRNA from 1 species
GAAAGAAGCAGGCCCCUGGCCAGAGGGAGAGAAAAAAAGAUUUUCUACUAUGAAGCAGGGAUUAUUCUAUGCUGUGUCCUGGGGCUGCUGUUUAUUAUUCUGAUGCCUCUGGUGGGGUAUUUCUUUUGUAUGUGUCGUUGCUGUAACAAAUGUGGUGGAGAAAUGCACCAGCGACAGAAGGAAAAUGGGCCCUUCCUGAGGAAAUGCUUUGCAAUCUCCCUUUUGGUGAUUUGUAUAAUAAUAAGCAUUGGCAUCUUCUAUGGUUUUGUGGCAAAUCACCAGGUAAGAACCCGGAUCAAAAGGAGUCAGAAACUGGCAGACAGCAAUUUCAAGGACUUGCGAACUCUCUUGAAUGAAACUCCAGAGCAAAUCAAAUAUAUAUUGGCCCAGUAUAACACUACCAAGGACAAGGCGUUCACAGAUCUGAACAGUAUCAAUUCAGUGCUAGGAGGUGGAAUUCUUGACCGACUGAGACCCAACGUCAUCCCUGUUCUUGAUGAGAUUAAGUCCAUGGCGACAGCAAUCAAGGAGACCAAAGAGGCAUUGGAGAACAUGAACAGCACCUUGAAGAGCUUGCAUCAACAAAGUACACAGCUUAGCAGCAGUCUGACCAGCGUGAAAACUAGCCUGCGGGCAUCUCUCAAUGACCCUCUGUGCUCGGUGCGUCCAUCAAGUGAAACCUGCAACAGCAUCAGAUUGUCUCUAAGCCAGCUGAAUAGCAACCCCGAACUGAGGCAGGUGAGCAGGCUUGAGCUUGCCA